AAAAUCCAACAGUAAACAACACCACUAGAGUUUCUCCUCUGCCACCAGUCGCACCUAGAUGCCCUCCUGGCUCUGCAGUGUAGAUAAGUCACUGAUCUCUCCCCACCUGUGAAAUGGUGCCGCCUCCCUUGAAUCACUAUUGUCUGGAUUACAGACGAUUUGUGUAAAGCACGGGAACAAGAUUCCCACUCUUUCACAUAACUCUUCAGAUGGGGCAACAUUGGACGGAUUUUUGGAACCCAGUUAAAAGGAAGUCUAAAGAGCUUUAGACUCAGGCCCUCUGUAAAACCUGGAUCCCUGGCUAUUCAAGGGAGAAAGUGAGGUAAUACUCAAGCAAACGUUUGUUUCACCCAAGCAGGUGAGUCUGUGGUCUUG